AUCUUCACAUAAAAAUAUGAGUUUCUAUAUCAUUGUAGCGUUUACUACGUCACGGGUGUUCAACAGCAAUGUAACGCAGGUAACUAGGUGGGAAGUUCACUUACCUGAUUAGAGCACGGGCCAGUCAAGAGUUGAAACGUGGACCAGUAAAAUCCGCGUUUCAACUCCAGUACUGAAUAAGCACGGGCUAUAAGCGGGAGCGAGCAUUGGUUUUGACAUGUCUCGUCAGGAGAGAUGCGCCACCGGUAAGCUGUUGUUUCUCUACAUUGAGCUACGUUUUAGGUGGCUGUUCAUUAACACAGCCAAUGGCAGUGGGGUGGUCCUGCAGUGUGAUUCUGGAGGCUGGUACCCUAAACCUCAGAUGACCUGGCUGGACAGUGAUGGAAACGUCCUCCCUGCUGGAUCGACUCAGAGGGUCACUACACUGUGAGAGGACAUGUGACAGAAGACUGACAACAUGUUCACCUGUAGAGUUCUACAGCAGAAGAUCAAACACAAUAAAAAAAAAUUUGUUCAAGAUGGCAUCUUUCCUCAGUGGUGGAUCAUUUUUUGGACAGUAAUUGUCAGUGGUAUAUCUGCAAGUUGUGGUGUAGCUGUAGUCUACAUCCUGAAGAAAAAUGGCAAACUGCAAUGGCUGAAAAAUAUGUAAUGAGGGCUUGUAUCCACAAAGCAGCACAGAAAAGGUUCUAGGAAUCCUGUUGUCUCUGAUCUGGUGAUACAGAAAAUGUUCUUUAAAAUGGGCAUAUAUAUUUCCAAAAACAAAAAAAGUUCUGUUUCAACACUUGAUAUGUUGUCUUUGUACUUGUCUUUCAAUAGUACUUAGCGUCCCAACCUUUUUGGAAAUUGUAGCUUGAAAUGUAUACACUUGCAUCAUAAUGUCCAUAGUAACAUAUUUUUCAAAUGGGAAAGUAGCACCUUUCCUGUUUCUGGACAUUUUGAGCCAGUAUUUGGACCCACAAGUUCUGAUGCUCUAGGUACGGAACUAGUCUAAAGAAGGCCAGUUUCAUUGCUUUAAUCAACAGAUUUCAGCGGUGCUAACAUAAAUGCAAAAGGGUUUUCUAAUGAUCCAUUAGCCUUAUAAAAUGAUAAACUUGGAUUAGCAAACA